UGCGAAGGCAGCGUACCGGCGCCAGACUGACGCUGAGGCACGAAAGCGUGGGGAUCGAACAGGAUUAGAUACCCUGGUAGUCCACGCAGUAAACGAUGAAUGCUGGUUGUCCGGGUCGAAUGAGAUCUGGGCGGCGAAGCGAAAGCGAUAAGCAUUCCACCUGGGGAGUACGCCGGCAACGGUGAAACUCAAAGGAAUUGACGGGGGCCCGCACAAGCGGAGGAACAUGUGGUUUAAUUCGAUGAUACGCGAGGAACCUUACCCGGGCUCAAACGGGAGUGGAAUGGACCAGAGACGGUUCAGCCUACGGGCCGCUUCCGAGGUGCUGCAUGGUUGUCGUCAGCUCGUGCCGUGAGGUGUCGGCUUAAGUGCCAUAACGAGCGCAACCCCCGCCGGCAGUUGCUAACGGGCAAUGCCGAGGACUCUGCCGGGACUGCCGCCGCAAGGCGAGAGGAAGGCGGGGAUGACGUCAAAUCAGCACGGCCCUUACGUCCGGGGCGACACACGUGUUACAAUGGGCGGUACAGCGGGAAGCCAGGCGGCGACGCCGAGCGGAACCCGAAAGCCGUUCUCAGUUCGGAUCGGAGUCUGCAACCCGACUCCGUGAAGCUGGAUUCGCUAGUAAUCGCGCAUCAGCCAUGGCGCGGUGAAUACGUUCCCGGGCCUUGUACACACCGCCCGUCAAGCCAUGGGAGCCGGGGGUGCUUGAAGUGCGUCGCCGCGAGGCGCGCCCUAGAGCAAAACCGGUGACUGGGGCUAAGUCGUAACAAGGUAACCGUAA
rnacentral:rRNA from 1 species